CAUACAUCGUGCUGAAACAUGCAUGCAUGAAAUGACAAAGUUUUAAAUUAGUUCAAGUAGUUGCCCGCCUUUCAACCUUAUUUAAAAAACUUUCUAGAUACCUAUCAACGUCAUGAGGGCAGAAAGUCGGAACGUAAUGCAUGGAAACAAAAUAACAAAGAAAGUUCUUAUCUCAAAACUUUGUUUGCGGUCGUAAGUAUGACCAUCUGUUGAACUUAGCAUGACCUCACUGGAUCUAUAAAAGCAGCUGUUGAAACGUCCAUCAUCACUUACACCAAGAUCCCUUUUCUUGAGAAAGACAGGAACUGUUUUGAUUAUUGAAAGGUGAGGUUUUUUGUUAUAUAUGUGCCAGUAAAUUUUUAUAUAAAUAUUUUCUUUUUGAGGAUUGAUAUAAUUUUUCGACCUGCGUUUAUUAUACAGUUAAAUGGGUCGAGUUUUGAUUGCAAAAAACUACGCCAAAUGAUCUUAUGCAUGCAUCAGGAAAUUACUGAUCCUUCAGACUAUUUUUUUAAAAUAUAAAUUUUACUUGACAGAUCAUGUCAAAAAGCCCACAUAUUUGUAUUCCUGGUAAAUUAUCAGUUUUUCCUAUAUCUAUUAGAUUAGAAAAGUGUCAUAUAUGAUAUGAUAUGAUAUAUGCAUGACACUUUAUAAUUAAUUUAAUUUCUCAAGUACACCAAUGUGUACAUUAUUUGGCCAGUUCUGGGCCUAUUAUUCACUGUACCGCAACCUAGCACAGCAGUGCUUUUUCUUACACAAUUUCUUUCUAUUGUCUUUCAGUGCAAGAUGAAGGUAACUCUGUUUUUAUUGGUCGUCAUCGUGGCAUCUAUGUCUGUACAAGCUGCCCCUAACAGUUUUUUGAGUGCAAAAAUUUGCCCAUCAAAAGCUUGUGAUGGUAAGGAAACUUUCUUAUAAUUUAUUUUUGAUAAAAUUCAUA